rnacentral:tRNA from 1 species
CAUGGUUUGGUGGUAGAGAACCUGCUUGGCAAGCAUGAGGCCCUGGGUUCAAACCCCAGAACCAAGG